AACGAACGCUGGCGGCAUGCCUAACACAUGCAAGUCGAACGAGACCUUCGGGUCUAGUUGCGCACGGGUGCGUAACGCGUGGGAACCUGCCCUUAGGUUCGGAAUAACUCCCCGAAAGGGGUGCUAAUACCGGAUAAUUUCUUCUGACCAAAGAUUUAUCGCCUUUGGAUGGGCCCGCGUUGGAUUAGCUAGUUGGUAGGGUAAAAGCCUACCAAGGCGACGAUCCAUAGCUGGUCUGAGAGGAUGAUCAGCCACACUGGGACUGAGACACGGCCCAGACUCCUACGGGAGGCAGCAGUGGGGAAUAUUGGACAAUGGGCGAAAGCCUGAUCCAGCAAUGCCGCGUGAGUGAUGAAGGCCUUAGGGUUGUAAAGCUCUUUUACCCGGGAUGAUAAUGACAGUACCGGGAGAAUAAGCGCCGGCUAACUCCGUG
rnacentral:rRNA from 1 species